rnacentral:lncRNA from 1 species
AGGGGACACCGGAGGUGACCCUGAGCCAGGGCGGGAAGCGGAGAAUUCCAGGUGAGGGAACACCAGCUCCGCCGGGAGAAAACCCCUCCUAAAAGGCUAAAUUCCAACGGAGGCUGACGGAAAUAAACGCAAACGGAUCUUGGAGCGCUCCCCUCCUCAUCCUCCCCUUCCCCAAACCUCCGGGCUGAAUAAAUCCACGGAUUCCUGCAGUUCCCACUUUCCACAUGAAGUCUCCAAAGUGCCCCAGGGCUCGAGUAAAGCUUUGGGGAAGGAGCCCCAAUUCCAGCAGGGAGAAUUCCUUUAUCUUUGGUCUGCCUAGAAGAAAGACACCAGGGAGGCCCCAGCUCUCCCAAAUUCCACCUGGACACAGCCUGGCUUAUCCAAGCGCUCCCACAGCUGCGGGGAAGGGCUCCCUCCCUGCCCAGGAGCAGAAAAGCUCUCGAGGUUUUGCAGUUUUGCAGUCUAGAGCUCAUUCUUUAAUCGAACGGAGGGAAAAAACAAACAAACAAAAAAAAAAAAAAAAACCAAACAAAAAAAAACUGAAAGAAAAAGAAAAAAGAACAAAACAAAAAAACCCCAACCAGUGCAGAUGUUCUCCAAAAAACCCCAAAACACCACCUGAUGCCACAUGCCAGGAAGUACCUUUGUCCAAGAGGAGCCUGUCCCGAGCUGGGGCUCUGUCUCUUUUUGGGAAUUCUCGGCGGGGAAUCCUCGGGAGCUCUCCCGGCGCUCGCUGGCUCGGAGGGAGGGAGGAGGGAGGGAAGGAGCUGCUCUCCGAGUCCGCCUCGGCGCUGUCCUGCUGCUGCCGCUCCUGCAGCCGCGCCCGCAGCGCCUGCAGCCGCCCCAGCAGCGCCUGGUAGUCAAAGUGGCCGCGCUUCUCCCCGAAGGGGUCCUGCGGAGGGCAGAGCCGCGGGGUCAGGGCUGGCGGGGCGAAAUUCCACGGGGAAAUGCCAGCCUUGGAGGGGAGAGGGCGGUGAGAUUCCACUGGGAAGGAUCCCGGAGCUUCCCCUGGACAGGAUCCUUGAAUUUCUCCUGGAGAGGAUCCUUGAAUUCCCCUG